AAAAGGAAAAGCUGUGCAGCAGCUUAGGAAAAAGAGAACAAAAAGAUCUAGUAGCUAAGAGUAGGCUCUUCCUUCUUCUUCCUGCAAACAGAGCCAAAGUAGCUAAUCCACCAUCCAAAACACCUCCAUUUUCUCUUCAAGAAUUGCCAUUGUCAUCCCAUUUUUCAGCCAUUAAAUUGCAGCCUUGAAGCACCAUAAAGUCACCUUCUUCACCAACCAAACUCCAAAAAUGCAGCAACUAGCUACUCUAUAAAACAACCAAUGAAAUGCAACCUUGAAGCACCACUGCUUCAGCAAAAACUAGCACAAAAAUCGAUUGAACGCUGUCGAAAUUUAGCUAUAAAACCAGCUCCAAAAAAAUGUGAA
rnacentral:lncRNA from 1 species